UACGUAGGGUGCAAGCGUUGUCCGGAAUUAUUGGGCGUAAAGAGCUCGUAGGCGGUGUGUCGCGUCGGCCGUGAAAACUUGCAGCUUAACUGUGGGCGUGCGGUCGAUACGGGCAUCACUGGAGUUCGGCAGGGGAGACUGGAAUUCCUGGUGUAGCGGUGAAAUGCGCAGAUAUCAGGAGGAACACCGGUGGCGAAGGCGGGUCUCUGGGCCGAUACUGACGCUGGAGGAGCGAAAAGCCGUGGGGAGCGAACAGG
rnacentral:rRNA from 1 species